rnacentral:rRNA from 1 species
GACGAACGCUGGCGGCGUGCUUAACACAUGCAAGUCGAACGGAAAGGCCCUGCUCUUGUGGGGUGCUCGAGUGGCGAACGGGUGAGUAACACGUGAGUAACCUGCCCUUGACUUUGGGAUAACUUCAGGAAACUGGGGCUAAUACCGGAUAGGAGCUCCUGCUGCAUGGUGGGGGAUGGAAAGAUUCGGCGGUUGGGGAUGGACUCGCGGCUUAUCCGCUUGUUGGGGGGGUAGUGGCUUACCAAGGGUAUGACGGGUAGCCGGCCUGAGAGGGUGACCGGCCACAUGGGGACUGCGAUACGGACCAGAAGCGUACGUGAGGCAGCAGUGGGGAAUAUUGCGCAGUGGGCGGGAGCCUGUGGUAGCGACGCCGCGAGCGUGAUGCCGUCCUUCGAGUGAUGAACCGCUUUCGCCUGUGACGAAGCGUGAGUGACGGUAAUGGGUAAAGAAGCACCGGCUAACUACGUG